rnacentral:rRNA from 1 species
AGGACGAACGCUGGCGGUGUGCUUCACACAUGCAAGUCGAACGAGGUAGCAAUACCUAGUGGCGGACGGGUGAGUAACGCGUGGGAAUCUGCCUUUAGAUGGGGGAUAACGAGCCGAAAGGUUCGCUAAUACCGCAUAUGCCGCAAGGUGAAAGGAGUAAUCCGUCUGAAGAUGAGCCCGCGUCCGAUUAGCUAGUUGGUGGGGUAAAGGCCUACCAAGGCGACGAUCGGUAGCUGGUCUGAGAGGAUGAUCAGCCACAAUGGGACUGAGACACGGCCCAUACUCCUACGGGAGGCAGCAGUGGGGAAUUUUACGCAAUGGGGAAACCCUGACGUAGCGACACCGCGUGAGCGAAGAAGCCCCUUGGGGUGUAAAGCUCUGUCAGCUGGAACGAAACAAAUGACGGUACCAGCAGAGGAAGCAUCGGCUAACUACGUG